AGCUUUGCACAGUGGCAGUAUCGUAGCCAAUGAGGUUUAUCCAAAGCGCGAUUAUUGCUAAUUGAAAACUAAACUGAAUAUAUUUUGUUUUCCACAAGACUUUUCUUCUCCAAACUGA
rnacentral:snRNA from 1 species